rnacentral:rRNA from 2 species
ACGGGGUGCAGCAGGCGCGAAACCUUUGCAAUGUGCGCAAGCACGACAAGGUUAAUCCGAGUGUUUCCUGCUAAAGGAAUCUUUUGUUAGUCGUAAAACCACUGAUGAAUAAGGGGUGGGCAAGUUCUGGUGUCAGCCGCCGCGGUAAAACCAGCACCUCAAGUGGUCAGGAGGAUUAUCGGGCCUAAAGCAUCCGUAGCCGGCUCUGCAAGUUUUCGGUUAAAUCCAUUUGCUUAACAAAUGGGCUGCCGAAAAUACUACAUAGCUAGGGAGUGGGAGAGGUAGACGGUAUUCGGUAGGAAGGGGUAAAAUCCUUUGAUAUAUUGAGGACCACCUAUGGCGAAGGCAGUCUACCAGAACACGUUCGACGGUGAGGGAUGAAAGCUGGGGGAGCAAACCGGAUUAGAUACCCGGGUAGUCCCAGCUGUAAACGAUGCAGACUCGGUGAUGCACUGGCUUGUGGCCAGUGCAGUGCCGCAGGGAAGCCGUUAAGUUUGCCGCCUGGGAAGUACGUACGCAAGUAUGAAACUUAAAGGAAUUGGCGGGGGAGCAC